GACGUAGGUGGCGAACGUUAUCCGGAAUUAUUGGGCGUAAAGGGUGCGUAGAUGGCCUGGCAAGUUGGCAGUGGGAAAUCGAGGCUCAACCUCGUGGAAGCUGAUAAUACUGCCUGGCUCGAGUACAGGAGAGGUUAACGGAACUCCAUGUGGAGCGGUAAAAUGCGCAGAUAUCAGGAGGAACACCGGUGGCGAAGGCGGAUCUCUGGGCCAUUACUGACGCUGAGGAGCGAAAGCGUGGGGAGCGAACAGG
rnacentral:rRNA from 1 species